GACGAACGCUGGCGGCGUGCUUAACACGUGCAAGUCGAACGGUGAAGCGAGUGCUUGCACUCGUGGAUCAGUGGCGAACGGGUGAGUAACACGUGAGUAACCUGCCCAUCACUCUGGGAUAAGCACUGGAAACGGUGUCUAAUACUGGAUACGACCAACCCUUGCAUGGGGUGUUGGUGGAAAGAUUUAUCGGUGAUGGAUGGACUCGCGGCCUAUCAGCUUGUUGGCGGGGUAAUGGCCCACCAAGGCGACGACGGGUAGCCGGCCUGAGAGGGUGACCGGCCACACUGGGACUGAGACACGGCCCAGACUCCUACGGGAGGCAGCAGUGGGGAAUAUUGCACAAUGGGCGAAAGCCUGAUGCAGCGACGCCGCGUAAGGGAUGACGGCCUUCGGGUUGUAAACCUCUUUCAGCAGGGAAGAAGCGAAAGUGACGGUACCUGCAGAAGAAGCACCGGCGAACUACGU
rnacentral:rRNA from 1 species